CGUCUCCUGCGGUGUUCGAUACCGUUCUGGAAACCCCUCGACCCUAACUAUUUACAUCGGGGUCGUGCACUGUCGGCAGCAUGUGUGCAAACCCACUACAUGUGGAUAGCCUGGUGCUGUCACGGCUGGCCCCACCUGUUGCUCCGGUUCGAGAGCGACGACCGGUAACGGCACAGGCGGGAGGCGC
rnacentral:other from 1 species